GAAAUAAACCAUAAUUAAGCUUCUAACUUAAUUUAAAAUAAUUUAAUUUAUUUUUAUUUCU
rnacentral:tRNA from 1 species